UACGUAGGCGGCAAGCGUUGUCCGGAUUUAUUGGGUUUAAAGGGUGCGUAGGCGGUCCUAUAAGUCAGUUGUGAAAUACGGCAGCUUAACUGUCGAGGUGCAAUUGAUACUGCAGGACUUGAGUACAGACGAGGUAGGCGGAAUUGACGGUGUAGCGGUGAAAUGCUUAGAUAUCGUCAAGAACACCGAUAGCGAAGGCAGCUUACUAGACUGUAACUGACGCUGAUGCACGAAAGCGUGGGGAGCAAACAGG
rnacentral:rRNA from 1 species